UACAAGUUGCACAGUUCCACAGUGGUUGGCAUGGAUUUAUUGUUACUGUUGUGAUUCAGGAUAAGACAAACAUUUUUUUGAAAAUGGAGUCAUUAUUUGCUCACUUAUUGAAUGUAUUUAUGACAUUUUGAACAAAAAUAUUACAAAAUUGUCCUUUUUGAAUCACAUCAUUUUGGUUUUCUGACAAUUCAGUUUUAACAUUUUAGCAUAUACAUGUUAUCCAUGCAUGACAUGUACGUUUUAUUCCAAGGUUAUGAAUUAAUAUUUGCUAAUUCUUGUGAGACGAUAUAACGAGACUCAUCGGGAGGAGGCACUCUCUAUAGAUUCGUUUGAAAUGUCCCAAAUCUGGAAAAAUGAAAAGACCAAACUGAAGAUUGAUCCUAUGAGGUUCAACAUUAUUUUGGGUAUUAUAAACCAACACCAUCACUGGAUGCUCAUGAUAAUUUUCCCAAAACAACAGAGAGCAAUUCUACUAGAUCCUUUCAAAGCAACUCCCCUGAAACUAAGAAGAUGCCUCCAGUCCACAAGGUACUGUUGGUGUCAGUAUUACAGUUUUUUAAAUUUGUUUAACUACAAUUCCUAUACAGUUCUAGUUGUGAGCUAACCAGUUGUCAUUACCAGGUAAGAUAAUGUGUACAAUGGCAGUAUUACUUGUGUUUUUUUGUUUAUUAGGCUUUUACAUGUAGUAUGUGGAAAUUGUACUACAGAAAACACAUAAUGUAACCAGUAUUAGUAUAAGGUAACUUUAUACUGUAUAUACUGUUCUUUACACGAUUAACAGUAGUUCUAAAUCGCUUUGACUCAUUUCUCCAAUCAGAGUUAACAUUCUCUAAAAUAAUUACAUUGUUUUCACAAUGGUCAUGUGGAAAUUAUAGUUCUAUACAAAUAAAAGUGUAAUUGACUUUAUGACACUAACGUUUUACUGAAAUAUACAAAAAUGUUUAGAAACCAUACAGUAGGUAAAAUUUAAUGGGAAUAAUCAGUACUGUAGUACCCAGAAAAAAUGAACAGUGUACAAUACAUUUAUUUUGGAGACAUAUGUUUUAUGUAAACUUUCCAUUCCAUUCCAUUUUCUACCGCUUAUCCGAACUACCUCGGGUCACGGGGAGCCUGUGCCUAUCUCAGGAGUCAUUGGGCAUCAAGGCAGGAUACACCCUGGAUGGAGUGCCAACCCAUCGCAGGGCACACACACUCACUCAUUCACUCACGCACACACUCACGCACUCACGCACUCACGCACUCACACCCUACGGACAAUUUUUUCCAGAGAUGCCAAUCAACCUACCAUGCAUGUCUUUGGACCAGGGGAGGAAACCGGAGUACCCGGAGGAAACCCCCGAGGCACGGGGAGAACAUGCAAACUCCACACACACAAGUCGGAAGCGGGAAUCGAACCCCCAAACCCUGGAGGUGUGAGGCGAGCGUGCUAACCACUAAACCACCGUACCCCCCUUUUGUAAACUUAAAAAUAAAAAUAAUCUUUGCUGUGGGCCAAUUUCAUAUAGAGUCAAAGUGAUUUAAAAAAUUGGAAUAUGUACUUUAGGAUUUUUUCAUUAGGACAUUCAUGAAGGGCAGAGGUUGUGCAGUGGGAAAAUAGACCUGUAAAACGUUUCCUCACCCUGUGCAAAAAGAUUCUGUAUCAUGUGGAGUAUUUUCUCUGAAGGUAUGAGUUAUAUUAAAUAUAGAUAGAAUUAUAUAUAUGAACGAGGGGACACACACAGACAGACAGAAAUACAUACAGAUUUAUAGAUAAACAGACAGUUACAUUUUAAUGUGCUUAUGUGUGUGCUAAAUAACAUGUUUAUAUUUUUUAUUCAGUUUGCCGAAAAGGUUCUCUGUAAUGAGACUGCUGAACAAAUUGAAUUCCCUUCAAGUAAAGAAGACCUAGAUGAGUACAGGAAGGAGAUAGCACGCACAAUUCUUGAAGAGACAGAUGAUCUGUCAGAAAUGUCUCUACUGCGGCUUGCAAGAUGGGACAAAACCGAAAAGUAAGAGUAAGACGAAUAAGCAUGACUCCACCAUCAACUGGAUAGAAUGCGAACAUUGCUGCAGGUGCUUCCAUCAGGAAUGUGUUGGGAAUGAGGAGGACUUUCCCAGCAUGCACUUACUGUAACCUUUACCCCCCCCCACCCAUUUAUCAUUUUUAUUUCAAUAUUUGCUGUUUGCUGCUUUUUGAUGUCUUCUUUGGGAGGUUGUGCAGUUUUUCUGUACAUCUUGUCAUGCUGCACUUCAGAAUAUGAUGAUAUUUAACCCUUGCUUUGUUCAUAUUUUUUGGUGAAAAUAAAACACUUUCUUAAAAAAUA